rnacentral:snRNA from 1 species
UUUUUGAAUAGUUUGUGGAU